GGGUGUAUAGCUCAGUGGUAGAGCAUUCGACUGCAGAUCGAGAGGUGCCCUAUUCAAACCUGGAUGCUCCCU